rnacentral:rRNA from 1 species
UACAGAGACUGCAAGCGUUAUUCGGAUUCACUGGGCGUAAAGGGUGCGCAGGCGGCCAAGUGUGUGAGGCGUGAAAGCCUGGGGCUUAACUCCAGAAUUGCACCUCAAACUACAUGGCUGGAGCAUUGGAGAGGGUAGCAGAAUUCACGGUGUAGCAGUGAAAUGCGUAGAUAUCGUGAGGAAUACCAGAGGCGAAGGCGGCUACCUGGACAAUAACUGACGCUCAGGCACGAAAGCGUGGGGAGCAAAAGGG